rnacentral:rRNA from 1 species
UGGUGGGGUGACUUGUCUGCUUAAUUGCGAUAACGAACGAGACCUUAACCUGCUAAAUAGCCCGCAUUGCUCCGGCAGUGCGCUGGCUUCUUAGAGGGACUUUCGGCUCAAGCCGAAGGAAGUUUGAGGCAAUAACA